rnacentral:misc_RNA from 1 species
AAGGAACAAUCCCUCUUCUCAUUUUCAUUGCUCCUUCUCUUCCUCCACUGCUCCAAAAUCCUAGCCCAAUCACCUGCUGCAGCUCCUGCCCCGGCAAAAGCACCUGCUGCAACCCCUCCUCCACCACCUGCAGCUGCUGCGCCUGCACCCGCUCUAGUCCCGGUAAUGCCAUCAAAAGGCCCUCUCAACGUUGUCAAAGUCCUUCAAAAGGCUGGUCACUUCACCUUCUUCGUCCGCCUCAUAAAAACCACCCAGGAAGAUAUCCAAUUAUUUUCCCAGCUCAACGACUCAAGUGAUGGGGUAACCAUCUUUGCCCCAACUGAUGGCGCAUUUUCAAGCAUCAUCAAAUCAGGCACACUUAACUCCCUAUCUGAUCAAGAAAAGAUCGAGUUAGUGCAGUUUCAUAUAAUUCCAAGAUUCCUGUCGACUUCCCAGUUCCAGACUGUGAGCAACCCUCUAAAAACACUAUCAGGAGCAGGCAACCGAUUCGCUCUCAAUGUGACCACCACUGAAAAUUUAGUAAAUGUAAGUACAGGACUCACCAAUACAAGUGUAUCCGCAAUUGUCUACACAGAUGGGAAGGUUGCCAUU